AUUGAACGCUGGCGGCAGGCCUAACACAUGCAAGUCGAACGAGUGGCGGACGGGUGAGUAAUGUCUGGGAAACUGCCUGAUGGAGGGGGAUAACUACUGGAAACGGUAGCUAAUACCGCAUAGCAUCAAAUGUGCACAGAUGGGAUUAGCUUGUUGGUGGGGUAACGGCUCACCAAGGCGAGGAUCCCUAGCUGGUCUGAGAGGUUGACCGGCCACACUGUAACUUGGUCACGGUCCAGACCCCUACGAGAGGCUGCAGUGGGGAAUAUUGCUCAAUGGGCGCAAGCCUGCUGCAGCCAUGCCGCGUGUAUGAAGAAGGCCUUCGGGUUGUAAAGUACUUUCAGCGGGGAGGCGUUACCCGCAGAAGAUGCACCGGCUAACUCCGUGCCAGCAGCCGCGGUAAUAC
rnacentral:rRNA from 1 species